rnacentral:rRNA from 1 species
CAGCACCUCAAGUGGUCAGGAUGAUUAUUGGGCCUAAAGCAUCCGUAGCCGACUCUGUAAGUUUUCGGUUAAAUCUGUACGCUCAACGUACAGGCUGCCGGGAAUACUGCAGAGCUAGGGAGUGGGAGAGGUAGACGGUACUCGGUAGGAAGGGGUAAAAUCCUUUGAUCUAUUGAUGACCACCUGUGGCGAAGGCGGUCUACCAGAACACGUCCGACGGUGAGGGAUGAAAGCUGGGGGAGCAAACCGGAUUAGAUACCCGCGUAGUCC